UUCUGGUUGAUCCUGCCGGCGGGCACCGCUAUCGGUAUGCGACUAAGGCAUGCGAGUCGAGAGGUGUAAGACCUCGGCAGACGGCUGAGUAACACGCGGAUAAUCUGCCCUGGAGUGGGGGAUAAUCUCGGGAAACUGAGGAUAAUACCCCAUAGGUGUGGUAUGCUGGAAUGCUUCCACGCUCAAAGCCACGGCGCUCCAGGAUGAGUCUGCGGCCUAUCAGGCUGUAGUGGGUGUAACGGACCCACUAACCUACGACGGGUAGGGGCGUUGAGAGACGGAGCCCCCAGGUGGAUUCUGAGACACGAAUCCAGGCCCUACGGGGCGCAGCAGCUACGAAAACUGCCCAAUGUGGGAAACCACGAGGCGGGCAUACCGAGUGCUAACGCAUUGCGUUUGCUGUUCUUUCGCCUAAAAAGCGAGAGAAGUGAGGGCCGGGUAAGACGGGUGCCAGCCGCCGCGGUAAUAC
rnacentral:rRNA from 1 species